rnacentral:lncRNA from 1 species
AUCAAGUUCAACUAACUGAUUUUUCAGAGAUAUUAAACCAAGUGAGUAACAGGCAUGUUGAAGCUAAUGAACAGAAUAGUGUAGUUAUAUCAUUUUUUUCAUGUUUUAUUAUCAUCUUCUGUCAUUUACUAUGAUCAGUGAACACCAGGUACUCUGUCUUUGCUAUUUAAUUUUGCUGUCUUUUAAUACGGACAUGCCCUCUUGACUUAUUAGUGAGCUCAGAGAAUGAAUCUGAAUCAGGUUUGAACCUUUCUCUUUUACCAUAAGAUUUUGUGUUUUAUCAUUUUUUAGUCUUAUUUUGAAUUUUAAGUCUUUCAAAAUACAAAAUUCAAUAUGAACAUUAUUUCAGACUAUUACCUCUUAUAGGAAUUCAUCUUUAUCAGUUUUGUUAAUUUUUAUAUUAUUUAAACACCUAAGGUUUGAUUAACUUUAAUACAUUUAACUUUUUAUAGCAUGUAGCUAGAAAUAAGAUAUAAGCAUUGUUGAACAACUGUUUAUAAACAUAAUUGCCUAUUAACUAUCCUCAAAUUAGCAUACAUUUACAUAUUGUUUUAUUAAAUUAUCCCUUUAUUCAGUCUAUAAAUUUUAUUUUUAAAAGUUCUUAAUUGCCAUAUGCUGUUUGUAGGCUGUAGGAAUUUAAAACAGUAUCAAAUGUUGUUGUCAGUUGUUCAAAAUCUAGUAAACUGCUGAGAGCCACCAACAUUCAACCCUAAUGAAAUGUGGCGAGAGAACCAGCAGUGACUCAGUGAUGCUGCAAAUUGAGUACAGCUGACUUCAUCCACACCACUCAGAAAGAAACUCCCAAGGGAAGCUACAGGAUCUCUAAGGGGGAAUUCUGGCUAAGCCGCUAAGCAGACACAAAAGCCUGAGAAGAAUUCACAUUGCCCAUCAUCUUAUAUAUGCAAAUCAGAAGAAAAGAGGAUGUUCCAACUGGCAGCACUGGAUGGACAGAUGACCUCAGAUCUUCAUUGCAUGAGAUUACCUCUUCCUUUUCAUAUUGGAAAACAAACUGUUUUCACACUGAAGAAAUAGCGACAUAAAAUAAGGCAUAAAAAUACCUUAAGUAAGUACUCUUUACUCUUUGAUGUGUAAUUAAUGAAAGGAACUUCGAACACUGACAUUUUACAACUUGAUAAACUGUUUUACCAAUGAGAACUGAAGCCACUGCCCAUGUUUUCAAUAUGUGUUUCAUAAAUUCUAUGGAAAUCCGCAUCUUAUUCCCUCACCCAUGAUAUUAUAGAAUACAUUUAUUAAUUUAUAUUUGAA